UUAAAGAAAUUACACACAAGUUCCUGAUGGAUUUCUAGAGACUAACUCCAUAAGGACUAUUGCUUACUUUGGUAGUCCAUUUUCCAUCCAAACCAUAUUUUUUCAUGAUUAUUUUCUUCCAUAAUGGCUGAGCGUAUAAAUUGAAGUUCCAUAACCACUUCAUCAUUAAAGUCUAAUUCUAGAUCUUUAGAUUCUUAAUUCCAGCACCUUCUUCCUUCUUGCUGGUUUUACAAGACUUCUAAUUGAAAAGAUGUAUUUUAUUUUUCUUGUUGUGCCCUUCAUAAAAAAAUUCCUUCUCAAGGAGUCCAACCUUUUCAUAACACUAGUAGGAACAUGAAAUAGAGACGUCAUGUAUGUAGGCAUUACAUCCAAUACAACGUUAGUCAAGAGGUAAUCCAAGAUAUGUUGUUCGAAGAUCCCCAAUUGUACCUCCUAGAAUGUUGAACAACCUGUGAAGAUCACUCACUUCAUUAAUUGGGUAAAUAAAACUUUUGUUCCAGUUAAUGUUCAGCACGGAGAUGGCAUCAAAUAAAAUGAAAAUCAAUGUUAGCAUACUUACUUGAUUCAAAUCUCCUUCACAAAAAAUCAAGCAUGACAUUUAAAUCCUCCAUGGCAAUGAUAAACAAGAAUGGGGAUAGAGGAUCCCCCUGCCUCAGACCUCUCUGUGAAGGGAAGAAGCCAGCUGGAGAGUUAUGAAAAGCACUGAGAACAUAGCAGUACUUAUGCAAAAGUUCAUCCAUUUGAUACAAGUUUGUCCAAAUCCCUUAUUCCGAAGCAUCCCCAAUAAAAAUUUCCAGUUCAAGUGAUCAAAAUCCUUCCUAAUGUAUAACUUGAAAAAUAUACUUGGGGCUUUACUUCUGAUCCUAGCAUCAGUGCAUUCAUCGGCAAUUAAGAUGGCAUAAAAUUUUUGAAGACCAUUGAUUAAAGCCCUAUACUGAGCAUCCACCAAUUUUUGCACUACUUUCUUCAGUUUCCAUCAAAAGCUUGGAUAUGAUUUUGUAAAUGCUACCUAUCAAGUUGAUGGGUCUAAACUCUCUCAGAUCUUUGGCCGCAAUCUUCUUAGGUAUUAAUGCAAUGAAAGUGGCAUUGAAGCUUUUUUCCAAAAUUCCUUGAUGAUAGAAGUUCUGAAUAGCAGCCACUACUUCUGUGCUUAUGACCCGUCUGGGCCAGGGGCUUUGUCCUUUGCACAAGGUUUGGCACACCUUGUAGCAUCUGAUUUUCUACAUCAUUAAUUUUAGGGCAGUCCCUAAGAUCCCCCUGAGGUCUCCAUUUUUCUUCUUCUAUAUAUAGCUUCUGGUAUAAAGAGACCAUAUCCUCUUUAAUGUUUGCUUCGUUUUCCACAAUGGCCCCUUCUAUCUCCAAUUUGUCAAUGUUAUUGUACCGCUUGUGGGCAUUCGCAGUACUAUGGAAAACUUUUAUGCUUCUGUCCCCCUUUUUCAACCAAAGGUCUCGAGACCUUUGCCUCCAUUCCACCUCUUCAUGAUUUUGAUAUUUUCUCAUAUUCUAGAUACAAAGAGUUUUUUUUUAUUAAAACCUCUUCAUUGGUUAGAAUUCUGCAGUCAUGUAUCUCUUCCAUCUCUAAGAGUUGGUUCAGUAUGUUGGAUUUCUGUAGAUGUAGGAUCCAUUGGAUGAUCUUACUCAAUUCCUUUAGCUUCACCUUCAGAGCUUUCAACUUGUACGCUAAAAUGAAGUGAGGUGUACCUUCACAAUUAACGACAGUCCACCAGUCUUUGAUCCUUUCCUUGAAUCCUCCUGUCUGCAGCCACCAAUUUUCAAAUUUGAAAUAUGACUUAUUUUGAUGACAACUACCACAUUUAAGUGACAACGGAGUAUGAUCAGAACUAAUUCUAUGAAGAGGGGUUUGUUUGAUGUUGUUGAAGAUGUCGUUCCAAUCCGCAGAGAUCAAAUACCUGUCUAGUCUGGCUGUGAGGUGUGCCUGUCACCCCUUCUCCAUGUGUCUCUUCCCUUAGAUAAUGGAAUAUAAACCAACUCUAAAUCCUCAAUGAACUCGGAAAGAUCAGUCAUAGCUUUGGUAAUUCUUCUACAAUUCUUUUUUUUUAGAAGGAAAUCUAAUUUUCACCCAUGGUCCAUUGAAUAAUCUCCUAGCACCUGCAACUUCCCACCAAAUUUCCUCUCUCUCAGUUCUACUAUUUGGAGAAUAUAUACUAGAGAGAUGCCUACAAAAAUCUUGCGAUUUUCCAAUGAAUUUGCAUGUAAUGGAGUAGACCCCUAUGUUGCUAACUUUUCAUUCCCAUAGUCUGUUGUCCCAUAAGAUAAUAAUGCCUCCUCUUGUCCCACUUGCCUUUAGUUGUGAAAAUUUUGCCUAUCUAUUUACCCUAACUUCUUUAAUUAUCUCCCUGAUAUCCCCGUCCAAUUCAGAUUCUUGAAGGCAAAAGAUAUCAGCCUUCCAAUUUUAAAUAAAGUUUCUUAUUAUCCCUCGUUUCCCAGGGCAGAUUAAUCCACCUCACAUUCCAUGAAACAAUAUUUACCUUCAUUGAGUUUUAGUGAAAAAAAUCCCCACCAACGUUUCUAGUUCCAUUGCUUCUAAAAUUUUCUCCUCGUUUCCAGGUUCUUUACGUCCUUGGAAAUCUUUCUUAAUGGAGAUUGUGUCAUAGACAGGUCUGGUGUUAUUUUGAUCACUCGUCUCCUCGUGUCAAUUAUCAUAAACAGUUCCAGUGCUUCUCUCUCCUAACCUUGGAAGCACACCCAAAGUUCUUUGCUCAAUUUAAUGAUAUUUUGAUGCACCCAUAAGGAUGCUUCAAAAUCCAUAUCCUCUUCCUCACCAGAGUUAUGGGUGUUUAGAUGAAGCACAUCUUCAUAUACCAAUUCCAUAUCUCUGUGUAUUAUUUUUGGAUGCAAGAGACUGUCGUCUAACUUGAGAGAGAGAGAGAGAGUUGACAUUAUCUUCAAAGAUGGACAUAGUGUACUCUUCGCCUUAUUGGGGAAUUUGGUCAUCUUCCCCUUUUUAAGUUUCUGUUAUUGUUAAAUGCUUAGAAAUUCUAGAUUUCUCGGCAGUUGGGUAUUGACGAAUUGACAACAAGUGUCAAAGUAUUUGGAAAAAUUAGCAAUUAAGAUAUAUUUAAUAACAUAAUUAAUCAAAAUAACAUUAAUUUAAAUUUUUUAGUGAAAAUGACAAAAUAACAAUAUGUUUAUUAAUGUUACAUAUUUUAUUAAAUGUGUGUAUUUUAGAUUUUAGUGUAUAUUGAUAUUAUUAAUUUAAUAUAUUAAUGGAAAUUCAUUUAUUGGACAAAAACAUGGUCCAAUAACAUUCAAUGAAAAAAAAGAAAUUAAUUAACAAUUUCGUGUAAAGUUCCAAGAAAGGUAAAAAUUAAACCAAUUAAAAAUUUUCAGCCAAAUUUUCAAGUUUCUUUCACAAAUUUUCCAGAUUUCUUCAUCAAAGCCAUUGAUUCCCAAGGAUUCAAGCAGAUUUUCGAGCUAGCAUCAUUAUUAAAGCAGAUUUGGUUGUGGCAAGGAUCUGCGGCGAGAAUGACACAAGAGUAUAAAAUGGCAAUUGAUAGCUCUUCCAAAAAAAGGAAAGUGUCGUACUAUAAAACCCCUGUUGAUCAUCAAGAAUAUCGAAGUGAUGAAGUAUUACGUCAUGACGAUGAAGAGGCAAAUGAAUUUUAUGUCAAAAAUAAACCAAAAAGAGCUCCCCAUAUUCAUUGUUUCUUUAAUCAUGACAUAAAAGCUAACUUGGUAAAGUAUUUACAUGGACAUAUAUACAAUGUAUUAUGUGAAAGCACCUGUUUUGGUAAGUAUAUACAAAUGCAUCAAUGUCAUGUUCACGAACAAAUACAUAGGCGUUGUAUGGCUUUAGAACUCAAUUGUAGUUCUCGCCAAGCAUUUGUAAUGCGUGUAAAUGGAUCUACGUUGCAUUUUAAUUUGAGAGAAUUUACUUUGAUUAGUGGAUUAAGUUGUGUAAACGAAGAAAAUGAUUUCAUCUUUGAUGAGUCAGAACCAAAUAGGUUCAUGGAAAAGUAUUUUGAGGGUGUUAAGUUGAUCAGGAAAAUUGAUAUAAUGAGGAGUUUUCAACAAAAAGUAUGGGGGGAGAACCAUCAGGAUGGCCUGAAGUUUGCAAUUUUAUACUUCAUCCAGACAAUGAUUUUUUCUGGUGAAAGAGCUACCAAAAAAGUUCCUUGAUUAUAUUUUUAUCUUGUUGAAAGUGGAAGGUACAGUCAGUUUCCAUGGGGGAAAAAAGCUUUCUAUUUGCUGAUGAAGAGCCUGAGCAAGAGGUUGAAUAGUGAAAAAUAAUUUUACAGAAUCGGGGGAAUGCCUAUUGUAUUCCAAGCAUGGUUGUUUGAGUUCAGUUUGAGUAUUGAUUUCCAGGUCGCUCAAAAGGUUGAUGACCAUAUUCCGAGGUUGCUCAACUGGCAGACGACCAAUGAGAGUCGUAGAUACAAGAAACUUAUGAACAGCAUAUUUAGUGAUGUUAAUAACAAGAUUAAAUUCAGGAACAUUACACCUAAUUAAACGGAACUUGCAGUAUUGCAACUGCCACCGGAGGAUAUCGAAAAUCAAGCUCCACCUCAGUAUUCCGAUUAAUCAGAUGAUGAUCUAGAUGAUGAAAUAAUUGAUAGUAAUGAUGAUCCACGAGGGGGAAGUUGUGAUGAUAAAGAUUCUGACGAUGAUUUUCAAGAACCUUCUCCACAAGCAGUAAAGGUCAAAAGAAAAGGAAAAGUUGGUUCCUCAAUGUCGCCUGUUAGAAAAAGGACAAAGAAGCCGGUGACUAGUGGAUCCAAACAGGAUGCAAAAAAUUUGGAACCUCGAAUUGCUGUUAAACAACCGAUGAAAAAGAAUGUUGUAUCCAGAAAGUGAUUAUGAUAUUUCAGAGAACAAGCGGAUCUGAAGUGGAAGACUGGUUGAAAGAGCUAUCAGAUUUCAGGAAAGAAGUAUUUACCAUAUAGUAAAUCCUUCAUAAUUAUACACUUAUUAGAAUUUUAAAUUUUUAAUAAGCUACAUCAUUAUGUCGUAUUUUUAGGUUAAACAAGAAUUUGUUGAAAUUCGCAGUUUGAUCAAUGACAACUUCAAGACUGUUCCGACAGGCAUUAAUUAAACACGGGAUGAGCAGGAGGUUUGUUAUAAAAAAUAAAAUGAUGUAACGUAUUUCAAAUUAACAUUUUUGUUAAUGAUUUACGUUGUAAUAUAACACAUGCCGAGCAUUCUGAUGAUCAUAUUGUCCCUUCAAAUUCAAACGAUGAAGAUGGGUAUACACCACAAUACACUUCCAAUAAAGAAUCUCCAUCAAAUCAAGUUCUGGUAGUUCAGUGUGACAAAUUGGAAUCUGGAAAUUCAGAGAAGACACUCAAGGAUUUAAAUGACAGUAAAUCAACAAAUGUUGUGCCCAUACAAUCAACAAUCCAGAUGGAAUAUAUCCCAAAUCCGAUGAUCAUGAGGUAGUUCAUCAUGUCAGCCCCACAUUUUUGAAUUGAAACACCCUUUAUGUUUGAUUUGAUCUCAGGCGAUUAUACUAUAACGCUGUGGGAUGCGUUUCAUUCAUGGAUCCGAGAUGGAUGCAAAGCACGACAAAAAGAAGCAUGAUCAAGACCAUUACAAGAAGAAUCUAGAUGAAAUUCCUAUGGCCAUUAACCUUGGCGUUCUCCUAAUAGACAAUAAGAAUUGGUUCUAUAAUCUGUAUUUCAAAGGAUAGUUAUUGAACAAUUCGGGCAGCAGGUCACGAUGCAGCUAUCAAGGCAGAGAUAGUUAACCUGUCUCAGUUGAUCCCUUUGAAGUUAACAAUCAAUGAAUAUUACAACAAUAAAGGAAUUGAUGUAUCGCAAGCUCAACAAGAGAAUGAGUUCUUUAAUGUAGUAUUCAUAGAUAAUGUUCCUCAACAGUCGCAUGGGUCUUUGGAUUGUGGUAUUUAUAUUCUAGCUUUUGCCGAAUAUCUAUCAUAUGGCCAAGGUAUUCCAGUGAAUGUUUUUGAUGCAUCAUGUUUACGGUCAAGAUACGCUACACUUCUUUGCAAUUAUGGCCAACAAAAGAAUGAUGCUGGAGCAAUAAGUGACAAUGAAGCACCUCCAAGAUAUAGCAAAUUCAAUGUAGCAAUGCAGGAGAUUGAUACAAUUCAAAUAGAUUAGUUGUUGUCCAUUUUUUGAUUUGUCAUUAUACAUUAGUUUUGUAUUGCUAUGAAACGAAUUUAAAGGGUUCCAGUUCUUGUGUUUAUUAAUGUAUAAAAUCUUGAAGUUCUGGU